UUUUUUUUUUUUUUUUUUUUUUUAUGCAAAUGGAAGGAAUUUAGGAGGAAGGGGAAGUGAUGAAGAGAAAGGGGUGAAAUGGGUUUUGUAUUUAUAAGCAAAUGACCAUUGCAUUUACACAUAAAAGCUAAGUCUCAGAGACAAACUAGAGGUUUAGAGGACUUUGAGGCAAACAGAAAAAUAAGUUAUUAAAUUUGUAUAUUCUUAAAUCACCCAUUGACGUAAAAGUUUAAGAUGACUAGUAAAAAUACAUUUAAUAUUAUAUCUUACUUGUACGUUUGAAAUUUAAUAUUAUAUCUUACUUGUACGCUUGAAACAUGAAGAAACAUCAAACAAGUAGAAAUUAAUUUUAUUUGAGAAGAAAAUAUCAUUCAAACAGUUUGACAUAAGAUCUUUAUGCACCAUUCACUCUAGUAUUAUCUUAAAACACUAAUUGAUCAAAAGGCUUAAGGGUUUUUAUAUCGAUGACCCAUUGUUAAAUAUGUUUUAGUUUCGUAACCUUCCUCGAGUAAAUAAGAAUUAUAACCUUUCACUUACAUCACAUUUACUUUUUAAGAAGCACACAGUCGUACUUGUGAGCAUCAAUCCAAGCUGAUUAAAGAGGCACCUUGUGCCUGAGUUAACAUACCCUGAUGAAAAUUUUAAGUGCGCUGAACUUUCUCCCUCACACUCGUGAGUACCCAAUUAGGUUGAUUAAGACGCCCUAGUUUGAGUCUGAUUCAAUCAUAAAACUGCAAGGGGCAAGCAAGACUAAGUUUCUUUCCGUACAAAAAUCUAUAUGUUGUUAGGCUUGUUUAGAAAUUAUUUGUUUUUUUUUUCCAAUGAUUUUCAUCUAUCUCAGGUAAAAAAUAGUUGAAUUAUUAACCAAAUUUUAAUUUUUAAAAAUUCUUAAAAACUAAAAAUAUUUUGUUAGAUGAAAAUAAAUAUUAUAUUAUUAAUUUUAUCUUUAAGCUGAGAUUUUUGAGAAAAUUGUUUAAUUUAACAUAUUAUCAAAGCAAGUGAUGGUUGAGGUCCUAUGUUCGGUAGAAGAUGUGUUUAUAGGUUUAAUUUUGAAAAACAAAAAAUUAAGAUCCCAAUUGGUAAUUAUUUUGCUUUUGAAAAUUAAGCCUACAUAUCCUACUUACAUUUUCAAAUUUCUUGCUUUAUUUUCUACCUUUUACCAAUAGUUUAAAAACCAAGAAUAAAUUAUAAAAACUAAAAAUAUAUUCUAAAGAGGGAUGAAUCAUAAAAAAUAGAAAGGAAAAAACGCUUAAUUUUGAAAAACUAAAACAAAAAAUAAGAUGAUUAUGAAAAGAAGCCUCAUAAUUUGUAACUUUCUUCCCUAUAUACUUUAGUUGGAAUAACAGGAACCAAAUUUUUAUUUUUUUGUGAAUAACUUUCUUUUUGUUCUGUUCAUAACAAUUGUCCAAAUAUGUUAGUCAGGAGAGAUGGGAAGGUUGAGAAAGCGAGAGAAUAAUAAUAAUUUGGAUGACCGACAAAAAUAAAACCCAACAAUUAUAUAAUAAUAAUAAUUUUUUUAAAAAAAAAUUAACAUUUAAAAGACGUACUAUUGUUUUUAAAAUUUCACUUUGAAUAAAACUCUUAUAUUAAAAAAAAUAAAAUAAAAUAAAAAGUACAAGCCAUCCUGAGAAAUGAAAAGAAAAUAAGUAAAACUUUUCAAAAACUAAAUAACUACCCAAAGCCCAACGGAAGUUUAAAUAUAAUUCUAACUUAUAUAUUGCUUUCUCCUCAUUAUAUUUAUUGUUCAAUUACUGGUCUUUUUCAAAUUGUGUUGUCCAAGUCGACUUGCAAGUCCAUUUUGUACGGAAAUACUACAUUCAAUAUAUAAUAAGAAAAAAAUAAACUAUUUAUGAAUAUAAUUAAUUAUAGUUUUUUAUUAUUAAUGGUGAGAAAAAUAAAGAGGGAAUCGUAUGGGAGGAAGGAAAUGGGUGUUUUUGGUGAACCUCCUCAAACUUCUACUUGCAUGCAUUUCUCACUCUCUCUUACGCCUCACUAAUGCUCAAGUUUUCUUUUCUUUUACAAAAACAAACACUUCUCAGUCGUCAUUGUCAAUAACCAAACUGAUGUCUCACCGCUCAUAUCAAAUUUCAUUCAAUAAUAACUAAAUAAACCUUUACGUCCCACCACAUGUUUAAAUGCAAUUAAAUCCCCUUUAAUCAUUUUAAAUUAAAUAAACUUUCCCAAAAUUAACUUAUCUUCCUCUAUAUGCUAAUUGACACGACAAAAAAAAAUAUAAAUAUUUGAUCUAUCAUCCAUACACUUGAUUUAGUCAUCAAAUAAAAAUAAAAAUAUAUAGAUUGUUUUUUUUUUUGUCUCUUUAAUUUUUCUUGUUAGUAUACAUUAGAACUAUAAGCUAUAUUUAUUUUGACAAAAAAAAUUAAUUUAGUUCGAUAAAUAAUAACAAAAUCUCAUGGAUAUUAUUAAAAGAGAAUAUUUGAGAAUCCAAACUUUUUAAUAGUCAAUUUUGGGUUUAAAUGAAAGAACAAUGACAAUUCUUUUUGUUAAUUUUGGUGAGCCCCAAAUGAUUCGGAACCAAUCAACUUCUGAAGUUAAGGUUAACCAUUUCCAACAACGUUGUUUCUACUUUAUUUAAAAUAUCUCAAGUCUUCUUCGACAAGAGAUGCGAGCAUCAUUGUUUUGUUUCAAAUUUUUUUUUUUAGAUUUGAAAUUUAAGUCUAUUUACUCUUUAUUUUAUACAAUGAUUUGUAUCCUUUUUAAGUGUAAUGAUCGAAUUAUUCAUCAAAUUUCAACAAUAAAAGUAAAAAAUAAAAAAUAGUUAUUUUAUAUAUGCAAAUGUUGAAAUAAUUUGAAUUGAGCAUUUAGCAACAAAAUGAGGGGAAUGAAUGUGGGGGUGGUAAAAUGAUUUGGACAUUCUCUAAUCUCUACCAUAAUUUUCAAAUGUCAAUAUCUUAGUUAUUGCAAUCAAAAACAACAAUAUAUAUCACCUCUUUUCCAUACAUACUUUAGAUGUGAUCUUUUAUUUUCCUCUUUUCUUUUUUUCAAACUAGUCAGGGCCACCAACUUUUUAUUUCAAAUAAUUAUAUCACAUUUUUUAUUUAAAACAAUAACUUUUAAAAACCACAUCUUUUUUUAGAUAUUAUAUACUUAUUUUUUAAAAAAAAGCAAACAAAAGAUGCUUCAAGAACUUAAUUUCAAAGCUAAUUUUCUUUAAAGAAAAUAGAUUUAUUUUCAAAAACUUAAAGACUAAAUACUGAUAAAGUUGAAGAUCAAAAACAUUAAACUUUUCAAACUUAAGAACGAAACGCACGAAUUCAUCUUCAAAACUUGAAAACUAAGAAAGUUAUUGUAUUUCGAAACAUAAUUUUUUAAAAAGAUUUCAAUGCAUAUCCAUAAUCUUUAAGAGUUGUAUCCGUAUGAACUUCAAAUAUAAAUUAACCAUUAAACGAUUGUCAACCGUAGUUCACAUUGCAUUGUGUUUAACAAUGUUGAGAGUGAAAAUGCAAAAUUUAUAUGAUUUUUUCAAACAUCAUUUAAUUUAUAUGUUUUCAAAUCUAUUGGGGAGCUUCUGAUUUAGAUUAUUGGUACUUAAAAAUUUCUGUACGUAAUUAACCAAAUAUUUUGUGAAUUAAUUUCAAUCUUAAAAUCUUUUCUAUUCACGUCAAAGUACAAAAUCUGACAAUAAGAAAUUAGUAACAUAUUUUCUUCUUAAACAUUUAUCUAUAGUAUCUUUUGAUUAAGAAACAUAAUCAAUUGUGUAAGGAAGGAAAAAAGAAGUGAAUAAGGAAACAAUCUCCAUGAUUGUAUUCAAUGAUAUUUUAAUAAAACCCAAAGAACUACAGGAAAUUUUAUAUAUAAUUGAGAAAUAUAGAGCUAUUAUAUAUACAUGGACCGCAUCAGGUAGACCAAAAAAAAAAAAAUGCAACAAUAGACUAGAGAGUCUUUUAAAGAGAUGUGAAUGAUAGAAGAAAUUUCUUGUAGCGGUUGAAUUGGAAAAAUUAAAUGAGUUUUUGGAGGUGAUAUUUUGAUAUAUAUCAUGUUGAAUGGAAGUAUAAAAUUACUCGUAAAAGUCAAUACUAGUUGCUUCAAAAGUUUCUUCAUUCCAACAUCAUAAACCUCUUAAAAUCGAAAUUUAAAAUACGUCAAAUUAACAACAAUAAAGGUAAGUAGGAGACGAACAAUUUGGAUCGACUAUUAAAUGUAAGUAGGUGAGAGACUGAAAAUUGAAGGUAUUUUAGUAGACAACUCAAACUCGUAUCAACUUUUCAAUACCAAAUAUUACUUUUUGUAUUUUGUUUGAACAUUGAAAGUUGUGUGGAGUUAUAAUGAUAUUUUAGAGGGUGAGGAUGGAGGAAAAGAGUUACCAAAAUAUAACUAGAUUGCAUUUUUAUUUCUUAUGGGAUAGUUAAGAAUAGUUAUUCUACUUCCUAUAUAUAAAUUUUCCUUAUUGCUAUACUAGUUUUUUUUUUUUUUUUAAUAGUUGAAUUCUUUCACCCAAAUACAAGGUAUUUAUGGUCAUUUAAAAGUUGUUUGACUCACUUUAUUGAAUAUACAAUUUGUUGUUGUAUUUUUUUAGUAGAGUGUAUUUGUGAGAACCAAAAAGUUAUUUUAAGCACAAAAUAUUUGUGUUUUUUUUAGUUUUAAUACAUAUUUUUAUCGUUGUUAAUAUAGAAUCUCAUGGGUAGGAAUUUGAUUUUUCAUUUUUUCUUAAUAAAUAGUUAAAUUUAAAAAUAUUUUUUAAUAAUAGUGAAAUCCUACGAAAGGUUGGUUAUCUUUGUUCUUUUCUACUAUAAUAUAACCUCUUUUGUAAAAAUUGAUAUGUGAUUCUUGCUGAUUAUGUUAUUCAUUUAAUGAAGGAGAUUUUAAAAAAUACAACAAACCUACCGGAACAAUUUUAAAAACGAAAAAGCUCUAAAUAUAUUAAAGUAUGUACCAACAUAAUUGUACAUACUUUAAAUAGAUUUGGCUACCCAAAUCUAAACUGUAUCAAUACAUCUUGUUGGAAGGGGCUGACAAGUAUAGUUACCACUAAACUGUUUAUAAAUAUUAAGUAUAAAUUUGUUUUGUUUAUACAUAUUAUAUAAAGACAAUAAAAUUGAGGGGGUUCGAGCCCCUGAGCCUAUACUAAAUUCGCCGGUGAAUACAAAACUAAGUAUGUAUGUGAAGUUUAUUUGAUAUAUACACACAACACUGUAUAUAUAGACUAGCACGGAGGAAAUAUUAAUUUUUUAAAAAAAUAAGAAAAAGGAGAUAAUUUUAAAAAGAUUUUAAAAAGAUAACCUAAUAAUUAAUAAUAAUUUAGAAAAAACCUGAAAAAGGAAAAGAAAAAGUAGAGAAAGUGUAUUUUAAAAAUAUUAUUAUAAUUAAACUAAAGAUUAUUUGGAAUGACUCAAAUAAAUAUUUUUAAAAAAAUCAUUUUUAUUUAAACGCUUUUGAUAAAAACUUAUAAAUUAUUUUUAUAUAUAAGUUUCUUUUAUUUGUUAUAUGUACUAAAAAUAUUUUUAUUAAAAAAUUUUAAAGUUGAGCAGUGGCGACAGUCGCUAGAGUUGGUUGUUGGAAGUUUGUCAGUAGAGUCACCAAAGGUGAUAGUCGGAGUAUGACCAAGACGACUAUUAUCGAAGAUUGACCUAAUUAAACCGUAAAAAUGUUAUUAUUAAAAGUUUGCAAGGUUGAUCGAUAGCGACCAAAGAUGUUUAGUUGGUUGAUGAACUUUCCAACCCUUGGAACAAAUAUCUCUAGGGUUGAAGAAUAGCAAGACAUAUAAGUAAUUUUAAAUUCUAAUUCUAAUAUUCAACUAAAACUAAACAUUGUCCCAAAUAUUGAGCAAACUAUUAUAGCAUAUGCUCCACUUCUAGCCCCAAACAUGUCUUUGAUGGUUAGGAUUUCAAUCUUAUAUUAUUUGAAUUAGUUAGGGGUAUUUUGGUCCAUUGUUAAUUCACAAUUAAUAAUUUUAGAAUUCAUUUUGUUGUUUUUAUAAUUUUUUUUUGUUUUUUCUAAGUGAAAUAUUUUGUUUUGUAAUUUCUCUUCUUAGUUGGCCAAAUAAUAUAUUCAUUAACUCUAAUUUUGGGAUAGUUGCAAAUAUAUAACAAAAUAUUUAAAUAAAUUGUAAAUAUAACAAAAUAUGUCAAAAACUAUCAAUGACAGAAGUGUAUCGCCGAUAGAUCAUGCUGAAAAUAUUAGUCUAUCGACAAUAGACCAUAAAAAUAUAUCAAUAAUAAAAACUUUUAUCGCUUCUAUCGUUGAUAGACCAUAAGAAUCUAUCAACGACAGAAAUGUAUCACGGAUAGAAUUUGCUAUAAUAUUUUUAGUUCUUUUUUUAAUAUUGUUAUAUAUUGAAUUAUUAUUAUAAACAUGGUUACAUGGAUAAUUAUAAUAUAUGAUAAUUUUAUGAAUAAUAAUUAAGCAUAUGUAAUAACAUUUUGACUCUUAUGGCCUAUUAGUGAUACACUUUGUUCUAUUUGUAAUUUUUAAAAUAUUACUAUAUAUAUAUAUAUAUAUAUAUACUUAAUUAUUGUAUGCAACAAUCGAGAGCCCAACCCUGUGUUAUCUAAUUAGGUUGAUAAGCUAAGCCCAAUCCGUAGCACAACCGUCAGCCCAAUUUAAAAAUAGAAAACUAAAACCUCACGCUCACGCCUCCCACUCCUCUCCAGUUUUAAACUUGGGUGAACUUUUAUGUUCUCUUUUCCUUCUCACCCUCAUUCUUUUUCCUUUUCUACAGUUCUUUAACUUUACCAUCCCCUUCCCACUCUGCUCAUCAUAAUUUAUUCAAACAACUAUCUUUGAUAUAUCAGUUAAAACUUUAAAACGGUGAUUGUUGUGGCAUAACGCCAAAGCCACAACCGGUGGAGGUACUUUUUUCUUUUAUUGAGGGAUAGCAAAACUUUGACGAAAAAAUAAAACGGGUUUAAAAAGGCGCUAUACUGUGAGGACUGUCGAUUUUAGAUGAUUCAUCUUUAAAUCGAGGGUUUCUGUUGAUCUUUGGCUUGUCCACAACCUAACCCAACCCAAACGUACAAACCUUUAAAUUCCUUCUCUACUUUACCUUAAUAAUUAUAAUAACCCGUGAAAAGUAUUACAAAAAUAUUAUAUUUUAUUUGCUUUUACUCUAUUUUUCUAAAUAUAUAUUUUUGUAGGGUAAAAUGCACUUCUGAGUAGAUGCUGACAUGGAUGAGUUAGCAUUUUAUUUAUUUGAUGAUGUGGUGAAUAAACUUAAAAAAGUAAACCUUCUCAAAUUAUAGUGACAUUUCAAAACAUUUUAGAUCUCUCUAGUUAUUUGGAACCUAAUUCAUCUCUUUGGACUACUAUUGAAUCGAAAAAUAGGUUUGAUUCUCCAUCUUUUUUAUAUAAUAGUAAGGCCUCCUUCAGAUAAUUCAAAUUGAAGCAAUUAGAUGUCCAACUCAGACUUGAUAGUCAAAUAUUCACGACCCACAUCCACUUCAAGAGGUGUCGUGGUCUCUAACAGAAGGCAAGUCAACAAUGAACAAUUAUAAAAUACUAGUGUAGAGAGAGGUGUGCAGUAAGAAUGAACCAUGGGCAAAGAAGAAGAUUUUUCACUAUUUUAAGUAUAUUAUAUUUUACUUGCAGGUUUAACUUUUAAGUUAAUUUGUCCACCUAAUAAAAUAAAAUGACAUGUCAAUCUAAUCAAGUCAUGAUUUGAUAACCAUUUCGUUAGGGUAAAGUUAACUAUGUGACCAUUUAGUAUCAUUUUGAAAAUCUUAAAAAGACAAAUUUUAUUUUAAAACUUUAUAGACUAAAUAGACAUCGAAUCUAAAUUAAUUUUUGAUGGUUGUCUACGUAAAAACCAUCUCCCCACAAAUCCUAAUAACUUCAAUAAAAUUAUACAUACUCCAUGGAAUUAAUAAUGCAAAAAUAACUCCAACCUCCACACGUAAACCCUACUUAAACCUAUAUAUUACCAAGUAUAAAAUACCAUGACAAAAACUCCACCAUCUAACCUAAAUAUCAUACUUACACUUCCACCUUUCAAAUCUCACACACCAACAACGUAUAGUACACACUAAUCACCUACCAUCGUCAAAUUUGAGUCUUUUUCCUCAAUCAAAGACAGGUGGUGCACUUCAAGAUACAGCUAAUGCAAAUCAGCUAUCCGAUUAAUCAAAGACAGAGCAUUACUAGUCAACUGCGCAAUGUUGACAAUCUUAGUCCUAACCUCAGCCUUAACGCCUCCGUUCACCGUCUUCCCCUGAAACCCUUCGCUACAUGUGGUUUCAUCCGUCAGAGCGGCGCUAACCCAUGUCUGAACAUUACUCAUUGCGAGGUCGAAAUUGGUUCCACGGAGCUUCGGCAUCUCGGAAAUGGAAGCAGCGAGGGAGUCGACAGAGUCACUCAGUUCUUCCAAACAGUCGUUAAGAGCAGAAACAUCUCUGGAGGGGAGGCCAUGGGAGUGAGAAAGCUUGAGGAUUUGAGUGGCGGUGGACUUGACGGAGGAGAGGGAAACGGAGAGGGCGGCGGUGGCCAAAAGGCGGGGACUUGUUUGGAUGGCAUUGGCAUGGACUGAAAGAGAUGAAAAACAGAGACGAGGGUAAGUGGUGGAACUGCAAGAGCUUUUUAUGAACUCUGUGCUGCUUUGUGGAGUUAUGGCUGAAUGGAUUAGUGUUAAUUGGAGAAUUAGUUGGAAAAGAAUCAAAGUUUUCUUGGAGUUUGAGAUACCCAUCUCUGUUUUCUUUGUGUUCUUAAAUGUAAAUGGAAGGAAUUUAGAAAGAAGGGGAAGUGAUGAAGAGAAAGAAGCGGAAUGUGCUUUGUAUUUAUAAGCAAAUGAAAAAGGUGUAAAAGGGUUGUGUAAGGGUCCCAUAUAAACAGUCAUCAUCCAAUUUGGGCAUAGCCACAUCAUCCUGUAGGAUGUGAAUUCAAAAAUUUAUCCGUUAUUUAGGUUGCUAGGGAAUGAAUCUAUAAAUAAUUAUUUAGAUAUUGUUUGAUUAUUAUUUUGAAUUCAUAACCAUUUCGUUUGUUUGUUUUUAAUUUUUGAAAAUCAAACUUAUUUAAUUUCUUCCAUAUUUGUAUAACAAUAUCUUAAGUUUCAACUAAACUGGAGCAAGAAAAACAAAAGAUUAUCAUUUAAAAUAAUUGAACGAAAAUGUUUACAUAGAAUUGUAGUAAAAGAGAAUGGAGGGGUGUCAUCCAAUAAUUAAUGAAGAGAGAAAAGUGGGAAAUAAAAGUUGAGAGAGUAUCGAGAAAGCGAGAGAGAAUGAAGAUAAAGUUCCAAUAGCCGACAACAUGAGGGUCCAAAUAAAGCCAAAGAAAUAUCCUUUAAUUUUCUUUUUUAUCUUUAUUUUAAUAUUGCAAUGCAUGAACAAAGAUAUUUUUGUUUUGCAUCAACUUUUCUUUUUUUAUUAUAUUUUUUUAAUUUAUGCAUGUACAAACACAUUUCUUGUGCUACAUAUACAAAUCUUAACCACCAUUAUUUUGUGUUAUUAUUAUAUGGUUUUAUUUUGAUUUGGUUGAUUAUGAGAGGUUUUGUGGAGUUGAAGAGUUUUUCACGUUAGCUUUUUGUUUUAAUAUUACAAUCUUUGCAAAAUUUGAUUUUAUUCUUUAACCAUUAGAAUGUGUUUCAACUUUUAGUCUCUCUUUUAACGUCUUACCCAAAAAUGAUGUGAUGUUCUUAAUUAUCAUUAAUCCCCUUAGCAAAAGUAUAAUUUUGCUUCUAACACUAUUAUUAUUAUUAUAUGGUUGUGGUAUUUGGAAAUUAUAUAUUAUUAAAUUAAUCUCUCUUUCACGUAACUCCUCCCUCCUUUUCUUUCUUUUCUAUUUUAACGUCCACAAUUCUAACCUUCACUCUCUCCUCGUAAUUCUUUUUUAUACGUCUAGUUUACUAAUUAUUUUAUUUUUAUUUUUAGUUUCUAAAUUGAUUGUUUUCAAAUAUAAUAAAAGAAGUAAAAAUAUUUAUAAACAAAAAACUACAUGAGAGACAACAAUAGACCAUCAUCUACGUUUAUCUCAUGCACGCUACAAUAUUUAGCUCGAAGUGUACAUAUAUUUAGUUGCAUCUUUUUCUUCAAGUUAAGUCUAUAAAUAACAUUUGUUCUAUUUCUAAAUUUAUUGCUUUAUUCUUUAGUAAUUUUUGCCACUAUUUAAGUCAAGGUUUGAAGACUUAAUAAUAGUUUUAAAAGUUUAUUUUAUUUUAAAUAUUUUUUUACUUAAUAAAAGUGUAAACCAUUGAAAGAAGAUGUGAGAAAAUAAACUUAGAUUUUAAUGUAUGAAAAUCAAAAUAGUUACCAAACAAGAUCUUAGUUUUAUUUUUGAAAAUUAAAUCUCUAAGAACUUGCUGCACGUCUCUAAACUGUUUUAAAAAAUUAAACUAAAAAGAAUAUAUAUAGCUUUUUAAAAGUAUACUGGAUUUACUAGAAUGCAUCUAAAAAUUCAACCAGGUGCGGCAAGAAAUUUGUAUAAAAAUCCUUCAUAUAAGAAAAAUAAUCUUUCAUAAAUGAUAUAUGUAAGUUAAUUCAUGAAGAUUUGAAUAUGGUUUUUUAGAAAUAGAUAAAAGAGUUAAUGGUCAUUACUUCUCAAAUUGUGUUGCCACUCUCUUCUUCUUAAUUUGCUUCUUCAUCCCUCGACGCCCAAUUCAAUCUUCUAAAUAAUUUAUAUCAUUUGUCAAUACUUGCAACUUGAUUUUGUAGCCAAAUGCUACCUAUAUUUUAUAUAUCUCAAAAGGAAAAAAAAGAAAAGAAAUUUGAAGAUAUUAUUUGAAGUUGCAUUGGAAAGCUUUUUUUGGGGGGAGGGGGACAUAAAUGCAAGCAACUUGAUCACAUGAAUUUGGGCCAGAAGUGAGAAAUAAUUUUGAAAGUGGCCCCUAAUAAGACGCAGUUUGGUUAUAAUAAGCAGCUAAGUAUGCAAAAUUGUAUGAUCAAAUCAACAUAUAGCUUUCAAGCAACUGGCCACAAAGGACCCAGUGGUCCGAUACCAUGUCUUUUUCAUCUUAUGCAUUUUUCUUUUUCUUUUCUUUUCUAAUUCUCACUUUUUAUAUAUAUAUAAAAACAAAAAGUUGUUUUCUUGAAUAAUUAUUUAUAACUUAUUUCCUUACAUUCAACUUCACAUUAAGUUACUACAUUAAUAUGGUUAACGUAGUCAUACUAAUUGUUCUUGCUAUAUUUGUACAAUUUAAUAAAUAUGAAUCUACUUUUUAUGUUAAGGAUGGUUUUAGACGAAAAGAGCUAUAAAGUUUUAAAAAGUAUAAAUAUAAAGGUAGAGUCGAGAAAAAAUAGAAUUAACCUAGUUUGUCAAGAUGACUCGUAGAGACUUGCUAGGUCAAACUCAUAUAUAUGCAUCUUUGUAAUACAAAUUUUAUAAAAAUUUCAAAUCCAUUUACAUUUAAAAGUAUUUAUAUUAAAAAGUUUAACAAUGUGUAAAAGUGAGUUUAACUUAGUAAUAAUUGACAUAGUCUUUCAUCCUAAGAAUGUGAGAGAUUUGAAUCAUUUAACCUUCAAUUGUUAUACUAAAAAAAUGUUUAACAUUGUAUUUUAAAAUACAUAACAAAAUCAAAUCAUUUGGCACUAAGUGAACCAACCAUUCUAUAUAGAAAAUACGUAACUGUUUCUAUUACGUUCCAGUGUUUCACCAUGGUUUUUAAAGCAAAUGGAAAGUGCUGUGACGUUAUACAUAUGAUUGGUGACCUCUCACGAUUUUGAGCCAUUGUCAAGCACGGAACAAAGUGAUCACCACCAUCAUGUAAAAUAUAUUUUAGAAACUAAUGAGUAUAUAAAUUUUUUAUCAUAUUAAAUUUGAUCAUACAAUGGAUUCUAAAAAGUAUAAUACAGUUUAAUUUUGAGACUUGGAGUUGUGUUUUUAUUUGGUGUGUGAUCGAGAUUUCAAAAUAUAUCAUACUUUAAUCUUUGAAAUUUGAAAAAUAGUUUUAAAUGUUUCUACGUUAAAAUAACCAAUUAACUAACUAACAAAUAUAUGAUGUGACAUUAUUGUUGUGACAAUUUUAAAACAUAAAUUGUCUACGCUCUUUUACCUCACUCGAUUUAGUGACUUGUAACAAAUAUAUAAAAAUAGACUAUUAAUCAAUAUUGAUUUUGUGUGAAUAUAAAUGGUGAUAUUUUGUUAUAUUUUAAAAUAGACAUACUAAAUAAUAUAUAUAUAUUUUUUUUGGGUAUAAUUAGAAUUGUUUUAUAAGCAUUUAAAGUGGUAGCAAACUUGUUUUUAUAAUAAUGUUUUAGUGGAUGUUAUUAAGAAGAGCUAAUGAGAAAGAAGAAAAAUAGAAUGGUUAAUUAGGUGGAUAAAUAAUAAUCCGGAAAUGCAAUGGGAUAUUAUAUUAUUUAUUAUUAAAGGAAAAGUAUUUGAGAAAGGGAGCUUUCCACGUAGUCAAUUGUGGGUCCGAAAUGACAAAGUUUUUGUUCACUUUUGGUGGGACCCUGACCGACGUGGAACCAAUCAGUUUCUAAACAUAUUCUAACCGUUUCCAACUUUGCUUCUUACGACUAGUUUCCUUCAAACUAUUUUUAAAUAUAGAUUAAUCAAGUCUAUUUUGUACAACAUUUUAAAUAUAUUCAUAUUUAAAAUUCAUGGAUGUUCAAAUUUAAAAUACACAAUUACAUUUUGGUGCACAAUUAAUAUAAUCCAAGACAGUGUUAUGAAAUAGAUGGUGUAUAUCAAACACCCUAUAAUGUGAAUAAAAGCUAUUGAUGAAAUAUUACUAUCAAACAAUAUAGAUAAAAAUCGUCGUUAGAGAUUUGGACACCGUCAUUGAUAUAUCCUAUUUGUGACAGAAAUAGCACAUGUAUAAUCACACAUUUUAUUUCCUAACACCUAACUCUUCUAAUCAAUACACAGUUUAUGUAAUAAUAAGGUUGAUCAUCAUAAAUAAAACGUUAACACUCCAUUGUGUUUGAUUCAACAUUCAUCAAAUGUUAGGUAAACCAAACCAUCUUAAUUAAGAUUGAUUUUUGGAUUGUUAUAUAUUUUAAGAUAUUAUCAUUUUAUUUUAACAAAUACAGAAUUGGUCUAAGAGGUCUAAUCAACAUCAUUGAAAUAAUUAUAAAAUGAGAAAAAAGGUUUUUUUAAAUAAUAAAAUAAAUGAUGCAUGGAUAAAAGUCUAUUGUCGAUAAGAUAUGAAAAAAUCUGGUAUAUUUUGUAAAUAUUUUUAACACUUUUAUCAUUUAUAGUAAUUUCUCUUUAGAAAAAAAUCGUUUUUAUUUAAGCUUUUUUUACGAAUACUAUUUAAAAUAUACUUUCAAAACUUAUUUUGAGGAGUUAUCAAACACUUCAAACUUUUUUCUUUUAAAUGACUUUUUUUUAAAACAAUAUACUUAAAAAUAUAUUCUAAACACAUUUAUAACUAUUUAUCUUGUACAAUUUUCAAACUACAUUUUAAAGUCUAAAUGGUACCAUUAAUCAUAUUUUCAAUUUAAUAAUUAUUGGUAUGGUAUUGAACUUUCGGUUGAGGUUGCCAUUACAAAUUAAAGAUAUUUAUAUUUAAGAUCAAUACUUUAUAUAUAUCUAUAUCCAUACAUUAGAAGAUUUUCUAAAUAGUUUAUGUUUGUUUUGUUCAGAGAUAGUUUUAUUUAUGUUUAGAUCUCAUAAUAUAUGUUAAUGUAUAUUUUGUAAUUUAGGCUAAUUAUAUUACAUAACAUUCCUUAUUUAAUUUGAAUAAUUUAGCUAUUUAUGUAACAAUUGAUAUGAUUGUAAAAUAUAGAAUAUUUAUGAAUAAAGAAUAUUUCCAUAAUAUAUAAUUGAUUAUUUAAGAGUUUCUUGGUGGUUUUUUUUUUUUAAAAUUUGGAGUUGCAGCUAAGAGUGAGACCAUCCCUUAGUGAAAAGACUAAUAUAAUAACUAUUUUUUUAUUGGAUGAUUUGAGAUGGUAUAUAGCAGAUUGGUUCCAAGAGGUUACAUACCAUAGAGGAAACAAUAUUGAUUUUUUUAAUUAUUCCCUAACUCUUAAUUUUCAAAAUUGUAUAAUUGAGAGUUUGAGAAUGCAAUUGUUAUUAUCACUGGAUAAUUCAGUAAUGAUUUUAUAAUUUGUUGAUAUCUUUACUAUCACUUUCACCCACGUAAUAGCUAAAUUCUAAACACCAAAACUACCUACUUUAAUUUUGAAAACAACUAUUAAAAUAAUAAAACAAUCAAAAUCAACCUAUAUAUGUUUAUAAUUAAGCUUAAUUUUUAAAAAGAAAAACAAAAAAAACCAACAGGGUCUUAUUACUUUUUCUUUUUGACAAUUGAUUAGUUCCACUAAUUAAAAAGAUAUUUUUGCAAAUAUUGCAACAAAUUUCUUUUAACAUUUAGCAACAAAGAUAUGUGGUAGUAAAAAGAUAUGGAAAUCUACCAUAAUUUACAUUAGAAGUGACCUUUUAACUCUUUAUAAUUCAUUGUAUAAAGAAAUUAAAUAUUAUCUAAUUUUUAUUUCAAUAUUAAUAUAAUUAUUCCUUUAUUUAUUUAAUAAGUAGUUAAAGUAGUUGAUGGGAUUUUUUUUUUCUUUUUAAUUUCUUUAAACUGAUCAAAACUGAAAUAACUAUUUUAAUUUCAAACAAUAAUGAGAGUCGUAGUAUUUUUUUUUUUAAUUUUAAAAAAUGGAAUAUUAGGAGUAACACAAUAGCAUUGUUUAAAUUUUAGGGCUAACAUGUCACAUGCAUUUAUAGUCUUAUACCCAAGUGGAAAUAAUUUCUCAACGUGAAAUGAAGAAACUUAAGUAUAUAUUAAUGAAUUAAAAUAGAAAUCCAUACAAUAUUAUUGGUGUGUGACAGAUUUUCUUAGAUGGACACAAAAGCAUUUAAGUUUAUAUCACAUCUGUGGCAAUUAUAAAUUAAUUAUUUUAGGUUGCAAAAAAAUUCCACUUAACUCUUUAUAUAUAUAUAAUAUAUAUUCAUAAUCAAACCCCAUGUGCGCUGCUGAACCAAAGAAAACACCACUUGAAAAUAUCACCUUUAAUAAUAUCUAGCUAUGCUAUACAUUUAUAUACAUAAAUUUAUUUUUCAUAGGGUCUAGAUUUAUAUUUUCAGACAAGUUUAUUUUUCCUAUUCCCCCACCACCUUUUAUUUUAGUUUAAUAUAUUAUUAAACUUUAUGUAGUCUAUAUAUAAAUAUAUAUCUACUACAUUAUGAUCUACAUUUCCAUCAUUUUCCUUUUUCUUACGAAACUGUUAAAAGAUUUAUUUUAGCAAUCAUGUAGUUGCCAGUAAUUCAUUUUCCUACAUACCCAUGCAUGCAUUUACAUUCUUUAAAAAUAUUAAAAAUAAGAGAACGAGUUUAAAUUUUAUUUUGAUUCUAAACCUAAACCUAAACAUAAUUAGUUGUUGUUUUAAAUAUGUCAAUUAUCUUUUGGACGGUUAAAUUUCUCUCUUUUUUUUUUUUUUUUUUAGUCUUUUUGUUGGUUAUAAUUAUUCUAUAUUGGAUUUAAAACUAGGUGAAAUUAAGGAAUUGUAUGAUUUAAAAAAGUUUUUAUCUUUUAACUUUUUUUUAAAUUUUGUCGAGAUUAAUUCUGAAAAAAAAUGUCACUUUUAUUUAUCGUGCAUCCAAAUCAUAUAUAUUUUUUUUCUACCUUUUUUUCUCGGAAUCUUUGGCAGGAUGAAAAAGAUGGAGAUUGUUUGUAAUUAUCCAAAAUUUAACUUCUUUUUCAAACACAAACCACACACAAUGACCACCUUAAGAUCUUAUCUUAUUUUCUUCACUAAAUUAACGCACAAUUACGUGAGGAGGAAGCAAUGAAAUUUAUAAUUUGAUUUGGAAACUUCUGCUUAAUUCUUUGACACUAAUUAAUACAAAAUAAAUUGUGUUUUUAGUGAAAAAAGAAGUCAGGGGUUAAACUUACCAAUGUUAAAAUUUAGAGAUGAAAUAAAAACAAUCUGAAAUGGGAAAAGUAAAACUAUAAUAACCAAAUUAAAAGGAAAACUGAAAGUUAGGAAGUGAUUUGGGAAGCGUCAAAUUGUGAUAAGUGAAUGAGGAAAGUAGCGUUGGAAGAGCAAUUAAGGGAACGAACCGUUACCGUACAGGUUAACUUGAUGUAGAAGAGGAGCGUGAGAUCAGCAGCGUUUCACGUGUUGUAAAGUGCACGUGACAUGUGUGUGAUACCCUAAAUUAUCGGGGGACUCUUUGACUUUUCAACGCCCUCUAGGCCACAUGCUUUUUCCCUAGACCUGCACGUCUCAGAUUCCUUCAACUUUAAUUUCUUUUCUUUUUCCUCCAAACUUUACCUACGACUUUGUUUAGGAGGAUCUUGUUUUUGUAAUUAUUGUAAUUUGAUUAGUUUUCAAUUUCCAUAAUAUUAUAGAAUUGAACUAAUUUUUACUAUUUCUAUGUGGCAGGAUAUAUUUUCUUUUAGUAAAUUUAUUAUUUCUUCUCAAGUAAUCUGUUGCUAAAAAAAUAAGAGAACGAACCAAACAAUCUAUAAUAUAUAUAUAUAUAUAUAGAUAUCAUUCAGUUUUUUAAUUCUUUUUAAAAUAUAAUUUGUUUUCAAUAUAUCAAUACUUUUUUAACUCUCAUUCUUUUAGUAAAUUUUAAACAAGACUCCACUUUUACAACAUUUAAAGAAACCAAAUCAAAUUUGAUGUAGAAGAAAAGGAAAAGAAAACAUGUUUGAUAAAAACAAUUGUCAAGUUCAGGUGAUACCCAUGAUCAUUUGGAAAUUGAUUGAAUUGAAUUAGAAGUAAGCUAUAUUGAAAAGGGAAAAAAAAAAACUCUUAUUAUAAUUAUAUAUCAUCUUUAAUCAAUUAGGAUGUUGAAUGAGUUUGUUUAGUGGCUUGUAAUAGUGAGAUGGUUUUUGAGUUUCACUUUCAGUUUCUGAUUUCAUCUUUUAUACUAUUUUAAAUUUCAAUUCUUGUUCAAACUUCUUAAAAGUUUUCUACUCCAAAUGUAGUUUUGAAACAGAAACAUUUUGUACUUAAAAACUUCAUGGCACCAUUAAGACAACAUGUAGUAUGAAAUAAACAAAACAAAUAUACAAAAGUUUAAGUAUGAAAUUUAGCGAAUAUCAAGCUAAACACAUCUUACAAUAUCGAGUUCACAUUGAUUUGGAAGAGUUGACCAAUCUAAUAAUUUAGUAUUCUAAGAAUCUCUAAAAUAGAAAAACGAAAUUUGAGGUUUGUUCCUUUGAUUGCUUUAAAGAGAUAUAGAAGGAGAAGGGCAGCAUAUUUAUCGGCAUAUUUUCCUCUAAAUAUAUUAUAUUUCAUAAGAAAAAUAUUUAUAUUGCUUUUCUUCUUCUUCUUCUUUUUUUUUUUUUUUCUGUUCAGCAUGGAUAAUUAUUACUACUUAAUUAGGGUUGAAAUUAAUUAAUUAUUACUCCACUCUUUAGUUUUUGACAUAAUAUAUAAUGGUUACAAUUCAAACGUAUGGAAUUGACUCAUUUAAAAGUGAUGUAUAAUACAGCAGUUAUAAUUUGUAUGUAUAGAGUUUUGUUGGCAUGGCAUGAACAUUAGAACUUAACAUUUUAAAUAUAGAUUCAUUAAACAUCAUAUAUAUGUAAACUCAUUUAGUCAAGAAAUGGGUUAAACUAAACAUAUGUAUUCCUUUUUUCAUGUUUAAAUUUAUAUGUUAAUUAAUGUUUCCAUGACAAUAUAAAUAUAAGAACAUUCACGAACCUAUUUCUUGAAAUAUCAGACCAAAGAUAAUGCAUCUUUUAAAACCAUGUAUGGGGACAUGUACAAUAUCAUAAACAUAUGAAGAAAAAAAAAAGACCCGUGUCUUUUACGAACCUUUACUUGCAAACCAUUCAAAAAUUAAGUACUUAAUUAGGAUAUGAUUACUUCAAAGUUGAUUGCUAGAGUAUUUAAAAUUAUAUAUGUUAAAGCAUUUUGCAUUAUAAAUAAUAUUAUUAACUAAUUUAAGUUUAUUAUUUUGUUGGUAAAAUGUCAUUUAAGUAGGUAGUUUUUAGAUGUGUUUUUCAUUCUAAUUCUCAUUACACCCUAAUUUGAAAAUCACAAUUAUUUAUCUUCUCUAAUUUUUCUUGGAAUGAUUGUCACUUCUCAAUAAAAACUUUGAUUGAUGUUAGUUAACUUUUAGAAUUUGCAUAUUUUUAAUAACCAAUUGACACAAAUUCGUUGUUAAUCAUUUUAAACGUAUAAAAUCUUGCAUAUCAAAUUAUGACUUUGAAUAAUUAUUUUUUAAAACAUUUGACACACUUUUCGGGGCUAUAAAUAUUGUAAAAAUCUCUCUUUAUUUUCAUUAUUAUAACAAAGACAACCUCAAUAGAUUCUUGAGAGAGAAAUGGAAUCUCAAAUCCUAAAAUCCUCACUAACCCUUUUGAUCUUCUUCUUCAUUAUUUUAACUACAUUCACCCCCUCCGCCGUGUCUUCUUCUUCCUCCACUGUCCGGCCGGUACAACCACACAUCAGAAAGGCGUGCAAGCCAACGCCAUAUCCUCGCCUUUGCGAGACUGCACUUUCCUUAUACGCUUCACAAACCAAAAGAAACCAGCAAGAACUAUGCAGGGCGGCCAUGGUUUCUUCUCUCAAAGCUGCACAAAACGCCACCUCCAUCAUCUCCAAGCUCUCCCGUCGGAAGAUGUCAGCCUACGAAGCCGAAGUCAUCGGUGAUUGUAUCGAUAAUCUCAAGGACUCUGUUGACGAGCUCCGUCGGGCAUCAACUGCCAUCAAAAGCUUGAGUCGUUCUAAGGAUGUGGAUUUUCAGGUUUUCAAUAACUACUUAAUAAUCUCAUAUAUAACGUCUUAAUCUCGUUUUCACUUUAGGUUUAAAACAAAAUCAUUCUUCAUUCUCAAUUUUUAUGAUACUAACAAUUCAUUUUCUAAACUUCAUACCACUAUAUUUCAUAUUAUUUUAAAUUUAUAAUAUAGUUUAGUACCUUAAACUUUAAAAACCAAACGAUUUGUUUCCAUAUAUAUAAUGUCACAAUUAGUAAUAUGUAAUGACAUAUUUUUUUUAGCUUAUAAAUAAAUUUAUUUUUUUUAUUAAUUUAUCAUCAACAUUGCAAGAAGUUUUAUUAAAGCAUAUUAAUAGUGCAAAUCUUAAUCUACAUUUAAGAUUUAUAUUUUAUUAAAGUUGAAAAAAGUAAAAUCGUUGUAAAUUUGAAAAUAUAGAAAUUAAUUUGUUCUUUUAACGAAAGUUGGGCCUCUAAAUGUUAUUUUUCUACAUAAUGUAUAUGAGUGAAAUUUAAAGUUAUGGUUAAAAAAUAAAAAUAAUAAAUCGUAAUGGAUAGACAUCGACAUGUAUUAUUUAAAAAAACCAUGAAAAUCAAAAUAACUUUAAAAAAAAAUUACAAAUAAGUAUUAUAUGUAUUUGAAAGCUUUCAAAUAAAGUUAAGAAGUUUUACUGUUAUUAAGACUAUGUUUGCAUAAUAUGAUAUGGUCUAGCUCAUUCAAAUAAUGUUACUUUUUAAUCCUAAAAUUAGGUUAAGUAACGUUAACAUACAAUCUCUUAUUCAUAUAUUUGUAAUGUGUAGUUGAAUAGUAUAAAGACAUGGAUGAGUGCAGCACAGACCGACGUUAUAACAUGCACGGAUGGAUUGAGCGGGGGCUCCGGGUGGAAGGUGAGCAAGAUGUUGAAGAAAGAUGUGAAGAAUUGUAGCAUAAAUGUGGUAAGGCAGAUUAGUAAUGCCUUAUUUCUCAUCAACAACUUUAACUACAAAUGAAACUCAAUCGACACCCUUGUAGUUCCAGCUUCCAUUUCAAAGUAUAAUAUAUAUAUAUGGCUUCAAUUUUGUGUGUUAUUUGUUCAUGUGAAUUCUUUCUAUAAUUUUUCAAUGUCUAUGUUUAAUUUUUCCUUUUUUCUUCUUUAUAUAUAUAUAUAUAGUACAUACUAUUUUGGUUAUACAUAAUUACAAUUUUAGUUCAUAUAUAAAAUUGAUUUAGCCUCAAGAUAAUCAUACAUAUAAUUUUGAAUAUAUAAACCUUAUUUGACAAUUUUAUAUUAGUGGGUUGAUCUGGAAUACUUUGGAAAGUCAUAUAUAUCAUAUCAAUUUUUUAAAUUGUAUAUUAAUUUGUGUCAGUUUUGAUAUUUUUAUUUAAAAAAAGUAGAAGAUGAGUACGAACCUUUUAAAGUGCAUGAGAACUGAAUUAAAAGUAAGAUUAAAGUAUCAUACAUCUUCAAUUACGUUUGUUUACGUUACAAUUUUGAGUUAGUUUAGGAAAUUUUCAUUUUUGUCCCAUUAAGUCCAAAAUUAAGUUUAUCAUUCCAACAUAGAUAAAAUUAUUAAAUUAUUGAUAUAAUUUAUCCAAUUAAACUUUUCAAUUAAUAUUCGAUAACUUAAAUAGAACUCUUAUAAUAUCCUAUACUUUUAAUUAAUAAUAAUUUUCAUUUAUUUAAUUUGUUUUAUCUAUAAAUUUAAAAAUUUGAAUCUAGAAGUGAGGUUAGAAAAUUUUUUUAAUGCAACAGGACCUUCAAAAUUUUCAUGUCAUAUAGAAAAAUUUCAUAUUCAAUGAAGGAUAGAUAUUGAUAUUAUUGUUUACUUGUAUUUCAUGCUUAUAUUGAUAUAUUGCACCCACUACUAAAUUAUAUAAAAAAAAACACAUUCUAAGUGAGUGGUGAGUAGAGAGUGGAGAGUGAUCAAUCUAAUUGCAUUUUUAAAUUACUUUUAUAGUUAUUGUUGUCCUAUUAUUAGUUGUAUUGUUAUGGUAUGAAAAAUAUGAAUAUAGCACAAUUGUUAUUAUUGUUAUAUCCUUAUUGACAAAUUCAUAUAACUCGAUUGAAUUCUAUUACAAUUAUACGAAUUUACGUUAUUACGAUCAAUAAUCGUGGCCUAAACUUACAUUUUUAGAGCUUGAAAAUGAAAAUGGAAAACAAGUGCAUAAAGAGGAAAAAGGGGAAACUGAGAAAAGAAGAGUGGUACAUACAAAUUAUAUUCCUUACAUUGAGGUCUAUACCAACAAAAAUGUGAUGUUUAUUUUUUGUAAUCAUUUAUUAGGGAGUAAGCUAACAGCAAUUUGAUUGCGAUUGUAGACUUCAAUUUUGAAGUAAUCUAUUCUCCUUCCUCAUCCAUUCAAUUACAAUUAACUUUUCAUUGCAUGCCUACCUAUAUUAUCAAUCAAAUCAAUUAGGUAACUUAAAUAUUCCAUCUCAUUACAUUUAUCGAUUUUUUAAAUUUAAAAUUAUGUAAAUGUAUCUUUGAAUCAAGUGUGUUAAAAUAUACUUAAACAUGUAUUUUUAAAAACAACAAAUGUGACAAAAUGGGUUUACAAUAAGCAAUGAUUAAAACACAUCACAAUCACAAUAAUGGAAAGGAAGAGUAUGGUGGGCAGUUAAUUGUUUUCUCACUAAACCAUGUUUACAAUAUACCUUAUUAUAUUGGAAAACUUGAUUAAAAAGAAAAAUGCAAAGUUAUAAAUACAAGUCUGCGUGACAUUCUUUUUUGCUUUGUCAAGAAAGAAAAGAGAGGGUAUGAAAAUAGGAUUUCCAAAUAUCUCUAAUUCAUAUUAUAUAUAUAUAUAUUGAAAGAUUGUAAAAAGAUGAAUAAUUAAAGAAAUGAAGAAAAUGGAUGGACAGCUUUUUAUCUAUUCAUGGUAUCAUAAUUCAGUCUCACAUGCUGCUGUGUUUCAUGUUUAUCCUUUUGGACUUUUCCAUUCAUUUUCUUUAUAUAUACACACACACACACACACAUACAUAUAUAUUUGUUUUAAUUUUAAUUGUUGUAUAUGUGUAGUCCUUCAAUCAAGGAAGGGAGAGGGCCUACAUUGCUGUCCUCCUGUUGGAGUUUUUAAUUUUUCCUCCAUUUUUCAAAGAUCAUAGAGUCCAAAACAAUAUUUUUCUGAGGAAAAAAACAAUAAUAGUAACUGUCUUUAAAGAAAAAAAAAUCCAAAAUAUUAAUAUUUGAGAUAGCUUUGUAUUAUAUUUUGACAAUAAUGGCAUAAAACAAAUUGUCAAAUUGAGCUAUUAUUAUUACUAUUGUUCUCUAGAAAGAAAGAAAAAAAAAACUAAUACAAAACAAUAGAUGAUUUAAAUUAACAAGUAAUCUUCAUUUUCCUUUACUUUUGUGAAUCUUGUUUUGUAAGGUCUAAUCAUAGUGUAAUUUUGGGACAAAUUAAUUUAUAAUGGUUGGUUUGGUCAAAAUUCACAAGGAUUCUUUAGAUAUACACUAACUUUUAAAAAAAGUGUAAAAAACAAAAUCUUCUUUUUAUGUUUGCACUGGUAUAAGUGCCUUUGGCCUCACAUCACAAUGCUUAUCAUUUUUAUUGGCACACCAAAACUUUGCACUACCAUGGUGGUGGUGUAAUUAAAAGAAACCCACUUCCAUAAAAGGAUGUUUUUAAUCCCCAAUCUUUUUUACUUUAUCAUUUAAUUUCUCUAUCUUUACCAUUUUUAUUUUUCAUUUUAACAUUUAUAUAUUAAAAAAAUUAAGAUUAAUUGGCACCUCCUUUGUUUCCAUCUUUUUGUCACUCAUUUUAUAUACCGCAUUGAAGUUUUUUAACGUGAAAACUAUAGUUGAACUAAUGAAUAAUUAAUACGAAAUUAACACACAAGUUUUUAACAACAUUUAAAACAUGUAUGACACAAUGAGUUAUUAGCUCAUAUGAGCUUAGAGAAAAUUUCUAGCACUACUAAAUUGUAGAAAAAAUUUCAUACUUCCUUCGUGUAUUAUUUACCACAAUAGUACCAUUUAAGAAAUAAAUUGACCGAGUUCUUAAACUAUUGUGGAGCCUACGACUAACUAUAAACCAUCAAUUUAUGGACUUAUUAAAUUCAUGCAUCAAGAGUGAACAACUUAAACUUCUCUUUGCUUUAGACAUCAAUCACCAAAGUUAGAUAAACAUGCCAAUAGGGGUUUGGCUCAACCAAGUAUAAUAGAUUUCGGUUUGAUAUUCACAGUAACAAAAAGUCAAGAAACCUAAAUUUGUAAAUUCUUCACUAGAGGUUGGAUUGGAAGGAAAUUUUGUGGUCAUCAUCCUAUUUAUUUUUUAGAAAACAUUAAAAAUAUGCACAAUAACAAUCAAAGAAGGAAAAAAUAAACGUAGAAGAUUAGAAGUUAUAUAAUAUAUGUAUAUAUAUGGAUACUUGAAAGCUUGUAUUACAAUUACAAAGAAGAUAGGCAAAAACAGAGAAAGCACUAUUAAUCGUUACGGUUGCAUUUCCCACAUCAAAACACUAAAAAGAAAAAAUAACGAAAAAAAAAACUCUCUUAAUAUACAUCAAAAACCCAAAACAGAUUCAUCUAAUUCAUCUCCAAUUUGUUCACCACAAGCGCAGAAACAGAGUAGAAAUUGGAAGAACCUGAAAUCACAGCUUUAGCUUUGAUUCUCAGCGUACUUAUUAAUCAGAGACAACGCAUUGCUUAU
rnacentral:lncRNA from 1 species